UAAAAGGGCCUCUGCUGUGCGUAGCACAGAAUCAGACAUAAUUAUGUUCGAUUCUGCGGAAUGGUUAUCAAGACAUUUCGGAGGAAUAAUGUUUAGAAAUCGAGCUGCUAUGUUUCAUAUAACUGGCGCUCCU
rnacentral:snRNA from 12 species